rnacentral:rRNA from 1 species
CGAACGGUAACAGGAUGUGCUUGCACAUCGCUGACGAGUGGCGGACGGGUGAGUAAUGCUUGGGAACUUGCCUUUGCGAGGGGGAUAACAGUUGGAAACGACUGCUAAUACCGCAUAAUGUCUACGGACCAAACGGGGCUUCGGCUCCGGCGCAAAGAGAGGCCCAAGUGAGAUUAGCUAGUUGGUAAGGUAACGGCUUACCAAGGCGACGAUCUCUAGCUGUUCUGAGAGGAAGAUCAGCCACACUGGGACUGAGACACGGCCCAGACUCCUACGGGAGGCAGCAGUGGGGAAUAUUGCACAAUGGGGGAAACCCUGAUGCAGCCAUGCCGCGUGUGUGAAGAAGGCCUUCGGGUUGUAAAGCACUUUCAGUUGUGAGGAAAAGUUAGUAGUUAAUACCUGCUAGCCGUGACGUUAACAACAGAAGAAGCACCGGCUAACUCCGUGCCAGCAGCCGCGGUAAUACGGAGGGUGCGAGCGUUAAUCGGAAUUACUGGGCGUAAAGCGCACGCAGGCGGUUUGUUAAGCUAGAUGUGAAAGCCCCGGGCUCAACCUGGGAUGGUCAUUUAGAACUGGCAGACUAGAGUCUUGGAGAGGGGAGUGGAAUUCCAGGUGUAGCGGUGAAAUGCGUAGAUAUCUGGAGGAACAUCAGUGGCGAAGGCGACUCCCUGGCCAAAGACUGACGCUCAUGUGCGAAAGUGUGGGUAGCGAACAGGAUUAGAUACCCUGGUAGUCCACACCGUAAACGCUGUCUACUAGCUGUGUGUGCUUUUAAGGCUGUGC